rnacentral:rRNA from 1 species
GGAUAAUGAAACCAAUCAGGGGUUUGCCCUAGUAACGGCGAGUGAAGCGGCAACAGCUCAAAUUUGAAAUCUGGCGUCUUUGGCGUCCGAGUUGUAAUUUGCAGAGGGCGCUUUGGUAUUGGCAGCGGUCCAAGUUCCUUGGAACAGGACGUCACAGAGGGUGAGAAUCCCGUACGUGGUCGCUAACCUUUACCGUGUAAAGCCCCUUCGACGAGUCGAGUUGUUUGGGAAUGCAGCUCUAAAUGGGAGGUAAAUUUCUUCUAAAGCUAAAUACUGGCCAGAGACCGAUAGCGCACAAGUAGAGUGAUCGAAAGAUGAAAAGCACUUUGGAAAGAGAGUUAAAAAGCACGUGAAAUUGUUGAAAGGGAAGCGCUUGCAGCCAGACUUGCUUGUAGUUGCUCAUCCGGGUUUUUACCCGGUGCACUCUUCUAUAAGCAGGCCAGCAUCAGUUUGGGCGGUUGGAUAAAGGUCUCUGUCAUGUACCUCUCUUCGGGGAGAACUUAUAGGGGAGACGACAUGCAACCAGCCUGGACUGAGGUCCGCGCAUCUGCUAGGAUGCUGGCGUAAUGGCUGUAAGCGGCCCGUCUUGAAACACGGACCAAGGAGUCUAACAUCUAUGCGAGUGUUUGGGUGUCAAGCCCGAGCGCGUAAUGAAAGUGAACGGAGGUGGGAACCUUUCGGGGUGCACCAUCGACCGAUCCUGAUGUCUUCGGAUGGAUUUGAGUAAGAGCAUAGCUGUUGGGACCCGAAAGAUGGUGAACUAUGCUUGAAUAGGGUGAAGCCAGAGGAAACUCUGGUGGAGGCUCGCAGCGGUUCUGACGUGCAAAUCGAUCGUCAAAUUUGGGCAUAGGGGCGAAAGACUAAUCGAACUUCCCUUC